GACGAACGCUGGCGGCGUGCUUAACACAUGCAAGUGGAGCGACGAACCAGGCUUCGGCCUGGGGCAGAGCCGCGAACGGGUGAGUAACACGUGGGUAACCUGCCCUGAUGAUCGGGACACCCGGGAAACCGGGCUAAUACCGAUGUGCCCGCGAGCCGCAAGGCUUGCGAGGAAAGGAAGCUUCGGCCUCCGCAUCGGGAUGGGCCCGCGGCCCAUUAGCUUGUUGGUGGGGUAACGCCUACCAAGGCAGCAAUGGGUAGCUGGUCUGAGAGGACGAUCAGCCACACUGGGACUGAGACACGGCCCAGACUCCUACGGGAGGCAGGCAGUGGGGAAUCUUGCGCAAUGCGCGAAAGCGUGACGCAGCAACGCCGCGUGGGGAAGACGG
rnacentral:rRNA from 1 species